rnacentral:rRNA from 1 species
UACGAAGGGGGCUAGCGUUGUUCGGAAUCACUGGGCGUAAAGCGCACGUAGGCGGAUCUUUAAGUCAGGGGUGAAAUCCCGAGGCUCAACCUCGGAACUGCCUUUGAUACUGGGGAUCUCGAGUCCGGGAGAGGUGAGUGGAACUGCGAGUGUAGAGGUGAAAUUCGUAGAUAUUGGGAAGAACACCAGUGGCGAAGGCGGCUAACUGGUCCAGUACUGACGCUGAGGUGCGAAAGCGUGGGGAGCAAACAGG